CGGCGAGUGAAGCGGGAACAGCUCAAAUUUGAAAUCUGGCCCUUGGGUCCGAGUUGUAAUUUGUAGAGGAUGCUUUUGGUGCGGUGCCUUCCGAGUUCCCUGGAACGGGACGCCUUAGAGGGUGAGAGCCCCGUACGGUUGGACGCCUAGCCUCUGUAAAGCUCCUUCGACGAGUCGAGUAGUUUGGGAAUGCUGCUCUAAAUGGGAGGUAUAUUUCUUCUAAAGCUAAAUACUGGCCAGAGACCGAUAGCGCACAAGUAGAGUGAUCGAAAGAUGAAAAGCACUUUGAAAAGAGGGUUAAAUAGCACGUGAAAUUGUUGAAAGGGAAGCGUUUAUCACCAGACUUUUUCUGGGGGGAUCAUCCGGUGUUCUCACCGGUGCACUUCCCCCAGUUGAGGCCAGCAUCGGUUUUCGGAGGGGGAUAAAAGCUUCGGGAAUGUGACUCCCUCGGGAGUGUUAUAGCCCGUUGCAUAAUACCCUUCUGGGGACCGAGGUUCGCGCAUCUGCAAGGAUGCUGGCAUAAUGGUGAUCAACGACCCGUCUUGAAACACGGACCAAGGAGUCGAACAUUUAUGCGAGUGUUUGGGUGUCAAACCCUCACGCGUAAUGAAAGUGAACGGAGGUGAGAGCCCUUACGGGUGCAUCAUCGACCGAUCCUGAUGUCUUCGGAUGGAUUUGAGUAAGAGCAUAACUGUUCGGACCCGAAAGAUGGUGAACUAUGCGUGGAUAGGGUGAAGCCAGGAGAAAUCCUGGUGGAGGCUCGCAGCGGUUCUGACGUGCAAAUCGAUCGUCAAAUCUGCGCAUGGGGGCGAAAG
rnacentral:rRNA from 1 species